rnacentral:rRNA from 1 species
CCUACGGGGGGCAGCAGUGGGGAAUUUUGCGCAAUGCUCGUAAGAGUGACGCAGCGACGCCGCGUGAAUGACGAAGGCCUUCGGGUCGUAAAGUUCUUUCGACAGGGAAGAAAAUGCCUAUAAGUAACUGUGUAUGUAUUGACGGUACCUGUAUAAGCAGCCCCGGCUAACUCCGUGCCAGCAGCCGCGGUAAUACGGGGGGGGCGAGCGUUGUUCGGAGGGACUGGGCGUAAAGAGCACGUAGGCGGUGUUGUAAGUCAUUAGUCAAAGACUAGAGCUCAACUUUAGUAAGGCUAGUGAUACUAUAAUACUAGAGUAUCAGAGAGGAUUGCAGAAUUCCUGGUGUAGCGGUGAAAUGCGUAGAUAUCAGGAGGAAUACCGUUAGCGAAGGCGGCAAUCUGGCUGGAAACUGACGCUGAGGUGCGAAAGCGUGGGUAGCAAACAGGAUUAGAUACCCCAGUAGUC